CAGAUCCAGGUAUAAUAUUUAAAUGGCGGUCAUAGAAAAGGAGUUUUAGUUUGGAGGCACACAAUAAAAAUAACAUCUAAAAAACAACAACAACAAAACCCCCACAUCUAAAUGCAAUAAAACUGUACCAACGGGUUUGAAGAAGUUAAACUAGAGAUUGGUAUGGGACCUUGUCUGUAGCAAUUGAGCGGGAAGAACGCUACUUUCAGAAACACAGAUCUAGGACCAAAUAAUGCUAUAGUAGUGGAUUAGCUCUCCAUCUUUGCAAAUGCUUACUGAGUCCUUAGUCUCCAGCUCAUGCAACAGAGUUAUCAACUAUCAAUAUCAUCAUGACUGUUUUAAUUAUUUAAUGGAACCCACUGAAGUUGAUGAUGAGCUACCAAGAAAUUUCAGGAACACAGACAUGUCAGUCAGUGUGCCAUUUCUCCUGAAUCUUUUGUACCUAUACGUAUCUAAGAACCCAUUGUAAAAUGCAAAGCACAAAAAUAAAUACAAAUAAAGU